rnacentral:tRNA from 1 species
GCCUCCGUAGCUCAAUUGGCAGAGCAGCUGACUCUUAAUCAGUUGGUUGUAGGUUCGAGUCCUACCGGGGGCA